AAGAGCCGAGCUCCCUACUGGAGUCCCAAUGCCUGUGAAUUCUCACCUUUUCAUUCACACUUGUCUCCCUUGUGCUGAAAACCAGAGUGAAACUUACCCAGUUGGAAACCAGAUCUACAGGUGAGGUCUGUGAGCAGACAAGAUAUACCCGAGUUCCAGUUUAUCAAGUUGGAGCAUAGCAGAGCAGUAUGAAUACUAACUACAGAGUUG